GGUGGGUUUCUUUAAAGCUGACACUGCUCUGGAACACUCUCUGCUCUUUAGGAUGUGGGAGAUGGACUUCAUACAGCACCUGAGGGAGCAGUCCAGCUCAAACACAAACCAGUGCUCAUGAGGAAAGCUGAAAGGUAAACAAUGCCACUGUUAACACACCACAAAAAUCAGCUGGAAACCUGCUCAGAGCCGUGUUAUGGUUACAAGCAUGUUUUGGCAAACAGCCAGGGGUUUUUGUAUAUAAGCACCUUUACUUGAAAAAAUUCCAAAGUGCUUCAAAAUUCAAAUGCAGGUCUAAAUUUUAUGAUUACCCUUUUGAGGUAACUCACGGGUAGGCAUGGAAAAAAAUCCCAUUUUGAGAUUACAAUCCUUAAGGCCAGUUGAAGGUUACUUUUGCUCUGGCUCUGACCUGUGCAAUCAAGCUCUUAGUUUCAGGAAAAAAAAAAAAAAAUGUGAGUGGCUUACCUUUCCUUUAAAUGACUCCAGCCACAAGCAGUGCAGAUAUAUCCUGCUUCCAACUUUUCACCUGGGUGAGGAAGACAUGCUGGCAAAACUGAGGAACCUGCCACACAGGAGCACGGAUUUUAUUGAUAGGAGGGUGCAUUCAAAGGAUGGAGGGACAACACUCCAAAUUUUCUGGGAAAUGUGGGAUUCUCCAACCAACAUUGAAUAAUUUUAUCCUCCUAUGCAAGGGACAAAACAAACCCUCCAGACCCCCAAACCAUGGGGUCUGUGUGCAGCAGAGCCCUGCACUCCUCCACAACAGGAUGGCAUAAAAACAAGAAUAAACAAUCUCCAUGGUCGUAAGGGAUGCUGCCACUGGUAUGGAAUGGAAACAUCCUGCCCGUGGACAGAUGGAAAACAAUCAGCACAUUCCAAUUUCUCCCAGAGAGGCAUCACUUUCUGUGCAGCACCAAGAAGGUCAAACAGCAAAAGCACUCAGGGGCACCUUCUGCACCGUACCUGGGAUGGCAGAACACCAGGGGAGGCUUUCUCAUCCUCUUAUUCUGUGUUCUCCUCUUCUGCUACCUAUUUGUAGCUCUCCUGAAGCUAUAAGUUUCCUUUAUCCUCUGUGCAGCCAGACACACACCAGGGAGCUGCUCUUGUCCCUGAAACUGCAGCUCUGCCAUCAUCAUUCCUGGCCACAGGCAAAGGUCAAAUCUGAAUCUCAGUACAGAGCUGGCUCUGUGUCCAAAACCUUUGUAACUAAGAGAAACAAAGCCAUUAAAUCACUGACU